rnacentral:snoRNA from 1 species
UGCCUUUAUGUGUUGCCCUUUCAUUGCUUCCGUCAUGUUUGGGGUGUCGAAUAAGGCAAACAGUGACGGUUGUGGUUGUCUGUGAAGCGAGUUUCAACCGACUCCUUUUACACAAACAGCUGCAAGGACACGA